rnacentral:misc_RNA from 1 species
GUGAAUCAUCAAAUUUUUGAGCGCAAAUUGCACUCUCCUCUGUGAGUAUGCCUGUUUGAGUUUCAGCCUAUAAAAAUCGACAUCGUUGCUGUUUCGCUGUGGCGUUCGUCGGAAAUUGGGUCAUCUUAAAUCCUUUUGGGUUUAAGCGACUUAAAAUUUUCUUUUUGAUUCCAUGAACGUGUUGCUAAGAUUUAUUGCUUUACACUUUUAAGGUAUCGAUUUUUAUUAGACGUGACCAUCAUAUCGGAUCGCGUCCAUAAUCUUUCAUUAACUUACCUCAGACAGG